AUUCGAAUAGUUUAAUUAAAAUAUGAGCUUGUGGUGCUUGAGAUAUAAUUUAUUUAUUUUGAAUA
rnacentral:tRNA from 1 species